rnacentral:rRNA from 1 species
CCUGCCCAAGAGAUCGGGAUAACACCUGGAAACAGAUGCUAAUACCGGAUAACAACAGAUGAUGCCUAUCAACUGUUUAAAAGAUGGUUCUGCUAUCACUCUUGGAUGGACCUGCGGUGCAUUAGCUAGUUGGUAGGGUAACGGCCUACCAAGGCGAUGAUGCAUAGCCGAGUUGAGAGACUGAUCGGCCACAUUGGGACUGANACACGGCCCAAACUCCUACGGGAGGCAGCAGCG